UAACCUGGCCCACUGGAUUGAAAAUAAGUUUUAAGGGCCGCGGUAUUAUGACCGUGCAAAGGUAGCAUAAUCAUUAGGUUUUUAAAUGGGAUCUUGUAUGAAUGGUUGAACAAAAGAAAGGCUGUCUUUAGAAUAAUGUUUGAAUUUAACUUUUAAGUGAGAAGGCUUAAAUAUUCUAGAGGGACGAUAAGACCCUAUAAAGCUUUAUAUUGUAAUUAUAUUUAAUUGAAUUUUAUAAAUAAGAAUUUAAUUUAAUUACUAUUAUUGUGUUGGGGAGACAAGAGUAAAAAUUAUAAUAACUGCUAUUAAGAUAAACAAUUAUAGAUGAUUUAUUAAAUAAAUGAUCCUGUAUGUAUAUAGAUUAAAAGAUUAAGUUACUUUAGGGAUAACAGUGUUAUUUUUUUUGAGAGUUCAUAUCGAAAAAGAAGUUUGCAACCUCGAUGUUGAAUUAAAAUGUCUGUAUAAUGUAGAUGUUAUAUGAGAAGGUCUGUUCGACCUUUAAAUUUUUACAUGAUUUGAGUUCAGAUCGGCGUGAGCCAGGUUGGUUUC
rnacentral:rRNA from 1 species